rnacentral:rRNA from 1 species
AUGUCACCAAAUGGGUACCACACACAUAUAGAUUGUUGCUUGCUCUCACGGUCCAUGUCAUCCUCGAUCCAUGUUGGUAUGCAUCCUCUCCCUUUCCUUUCCUCUCUACUAAGUUGUCUCUCCUUUUCCUUUAAUUAUUCAUGUGAUCUUUUUUGCUCUGAGAAGCCCUUCAUGAUGCACAGAAGGAUUCAGUUUCUGAAUUCUUAUCAACAGGUUUCAGUUGUCUAUUGCAAAAAUGUUCUAUGUAUAUCAUGUGAGUUAAAGGGUCAACCAAAUGAUCAUAUAUGUAUUUAUAUAGAAUCAUAUCUAUCUAUUGGCAGCCAUGUCUGA